AUUCUCUUAGUAUAAACAGUAUAUUUGACUUCCAAUCAAUUGGAUCUAGUAAAACCUAGAAGAGAAUA
rnacentral:tRNA from 1 species